rnacentral:ncRNA from 1 species
AAGAUUUGGUGCCGACAUAGUAAUAUGAAGGUGAAAAGGGAAUCAGGUGAAAGACCUGAACUGUUUCCGCAGCUGUAAGUUCCCCAAAUGUUCUGUACAUCCUUUGUCACUGUUCCUCGGAAUGGGAAGACGGUACGGAACGGAACAAGUCAGAAGACCUGCCAAUUCUUGUU